rnacentral:rRNA from 1 species
UCGAGAAUCUUCGGCAAUGGGCGCAAGCCUGACCGAGCGACGCCGCGUGGAGGAUGAAGGCCUUCGGGUUGUAAACUCCUGUCGAGGGGGAGGAAGGCCGGGUCAACCGGCUUGACCGAUCCCUGGAGGAAGCACGGGCUAAGUUCGUGCCAGCAGCCGCGGUAAGACGAACCGUGCGAACGUUAUUCGGAAUCACUGGGCUUAAAGCGCGUGUAGGCGGAUGGGGACGUCGGUCGCUGAAAGCCCCCGGCUCAACCGGGGAACGGGCGCCGAAACGCCCCGUCUGGAGGGACGUAGGGGGACCUGGAACAUCCGGUGGAGCGGUGAAAUGCGUUGAGAUCGGAUGGAACGCCCGUGGCGAAAGCGAGGUCCUGGACGUCUUCUGACGCUGAGACGCGAAAGCUAGGGUAGCGAACGGGAUUAGAUACCCCCGUAGUCC